AACGAACGCUGGCGGCAUGCCUAACACAUGCAAGUCGAACGAGACCUUCGGGUCUAGUGGCGCACGGGUGCGUAACGCGUGGGAACCUGCCCUUAGGUUCGGAAUAACUCCCCGAAAGGGGUGCUAAUACGGAAUAAGUGCUUCGACCCAAAGAUUUUUCGCCUUUGGAUGGGCCCGCGUUGGAUUAGCUAGUGGGUAGGGUAAAAGCCUACCAAGGCGACGAUCCUUAACUGGUCUGAGAGGAUGAUCACCGACACUGGGACUGAGACACGGCCCAGACUCCUACGGGAGGCAGCAGUGGGGAAUAUUGGACAAUGGGCGAAAGCCUGAUCCAGCAAUGCCGCGUGAGUGAUGAAGGCAUUAGGGUUGUAAAGCUCUUUUACCCGGGAUGAUAAUGACAGUACCGGGAGAAUAAGCUCCGGCUAACUCCGUG
rnacentral:rRNA from 1 species